GAUGAACGCUGGCGGCGUGCCUAACACAUGCAAGUCGAGCGGAAAGACGAUGAGCUUGUUCCUUUGUCGUUAGCGGCGGGUGGGUGAGUAACGCGUGGAUCCCCUACUUGUAUUACUGGGAUAAUUUCGGGAAAACGGCUCUAAUACCGGAGAAUAUAUUGCACCGCAUGGUUCAAUAGUAAAUGACGGCUUUGCUGUCUCUACUAGAUGGAUCCGCGCCGCAUGAGCUGGUUGGUAAGGUCACGGCUUAUCAAGGCGACGAUGCGUGGCCGACCGGAGAGGGUGAUCGGCCACACUGGAACGGAGACAGGGUCCAUACGCCUACGGGAGGCAGCAGUAGGGAAUCGGCCGCAAUGGGCGAAAGCCUGACGGAGCAAGGCCGCGUGAGUGAUGAAGGUCUUCGGAGCGUAAAACUCUGUUAUUAGGGAAGAACAGAUGUGGAAGUAACCAUAGACGUCUUGACGGUACCUAAUCAAAAAGCACCGGCUAACUACGUG
rnacentral:rRNA from 1 species